GGAAGGUUCAGGCGUUAUCCGGAUUUAUUGGGUUUAAAGGGAGCGUAGGCCGUUUGNUAAGCGUGUUGUGAAAUGUCGNNGCUCAACCUGGGCAUUGCAGCGCGAACUGCCNUACUUGAGUGUGCCAGAAGUAGGCGGAAUUCGUCGUGUAGCGGUGAAAUGCUUAGAUAUGACGAAGAACUCCGAUUGCGAAGGCAGCCUGCUGUAGCGCAACUGACGCUGAAGCUCGAAAGCGUGGGUAUCGAACAGGAUUAGAUACCCUGGUAGUCCACNCGGUAAACGAUGGAUGUUCGCUGUUUGCNUCUGACGUANNCGGCCNANCNAAAGCGUUAAGCNUCCCACCUGGGGAGU
rnacentral:rRNA from 1 species